rnacentral:rRNA from 1 species
GGAGNNGNUCUGUNUGCUNAAUUGCNUUUUCAUCUGGAUCAUAUAAUAAAUAUGUACUUUUUUAUUAUNNNNUUUANNAUUAUAUAUNUAUNUANGUAUAUAUCGUAAUNNUUAAUANUUAAGGUACUCGUGNNCNNGAAAGCAACGAACGNGNCCGCAUCCUCNNGUUGCCUUUUUAANNUGUAUAUUUAUAUAUUUUAUUAUAUAUACUUUACAUAACAUAAGAGGCUUUCAGAAAACUAGAGGGACCGCUGCGACUUUUUAAACCAGAGGAAGGUUGCGGCAAUAACAGGUCUGUGAUGCCCUUAGAUGUUCCGGGCUGCACACGUGCUACAAUGAUUAUUGCAGUGAGCAUCUCAUUUUAUUUUUUGUGCUUGUCUUGUCUUUUUGUAUAUUUUAUUAUAUAUAUAUUUGACGACAGCCUUAGCCUGCUUCGAAAGUUCGCAGGUAAUCAAUUGGAAGUAAUGAUUUCCCUUUUUCUUUUUUUAUUACAUUUAUUUUUUGUGAUUUCUUUAAUUAAGCGAGCACACAAUAUGCUGCUCUCUCGCCCUGUCUUUGUCUUUGAUUGUUUGUAUUCAUACAUCUUUUACAUGUACUUUGAUUGCGUUUUGUGGGAGUGUGCAUGUCUUUUUUUAUAUAUUAUUUUUAUAUCUUAUGCGUCUUAUAUUUAUAUAAUUCGUAUGCUAUAUAUAUUUAUAUUUAAAUCGCAUCUAUCAGCAUGUGCUUUUUGUUAAUUCAAGGUGGGGACAGACCCUUGUUAAUUGUUGGUCUCGUUUCAACUAGGAAUGCCUUGUACGGGUCUUUGGUUCAACAAACCACCCGGAAUACGUCCCUGCCCUUUGUACACACCGCCCGUCGCUCUUACCGAUGGACUUCUCUGUGAGUUUGAGGGACUGGGUUGUAUAUUAUUUUUUAUAUUUAUACAAACACCUAUGGAAACUUAAACGAACAGNGNGNUNNAANGAAAGAGAA